rfam:Physcomitrella patens subsp. patens PHYPAscaffold_54 genomic scaffold, whole genome shotgun sequence.
UAAGAGGCUUUUAUAAAAGCUAUAUUUAGUUACCUUGAAUUAUUAU